rnacentral:rRNA from 1 species
CAGUCGCCGCGGUAACACGUAGGGUGCGAGCGUUAAUCGGAAUUACUGGGCGUAAAGCGGGCGCAGACGGUUACUUAAGCAGGAUGUGAAAUCCCCGGGCUCAACCUGGGAACUGCGUUCUGAACUGGGUGACUAGAGUGUGUCAGAGGGAGGUAGAAUUCCACGUGUAGCAGUGAAAUGCGUAGAGAUGUGGAGGAAUACCGAUGGCGAAGGCAGCCUCCUGGGAUAACACUGACGUUCAUGCCCGAAAGCGUGGGUAGCAAACAGGAUUAGAUACCCCUGUAGUCCCUGUCUCUUAUAC